GAAUAUUGGACAAUGGGGGGAACCCUGAUCCAGCCAUGCCGCGUGUGUGAAGAAGGCCUUUUGGUUGUAAAGCACUUUAAGCGAGGAGGAGGCUACUCUAGUUAAUACCUAGAGAUAGUGGACGUUACUCGCAGAAUAAGCACCGGCUACCCACGUUCCAUCAGCCGCGGGAAUACAGAGGGUGCAAGCGUUAAUCGGAUUUACUGGGCGUAAAGCGCGCGUAGGUGGCCAAUUAAGUCAAAUGUGAAAUCCCCGAGCUUAACUUGGGAAUUGCAUUCGAUACUGGUUGGCUAGAGUAUGGGAGAGGAUGGUAGGAUUCCAGGUGUAGCGGUAAAAUGUGUAGAGAUCUGGAGGAAUACCGAUGGCGAAGGCAGCCAUCUGGCCUAAUACUGACACUGAGGUGCGAAAGCAUGGGGAGCAAACA
rnacentral:rRNA from 1 species